GGAAUAGCUCAGCGGUAGAGCAGCGGACUGUUAAUCCGUUGGUCGCAGGUUCGAAUCCUGCUUC
rnacentral:tRNA from 1 species